UUAGUUGAAGCCAAAAAGAGGCAUCUUAAUGUUAAUAAGAAGAGUGAUUGAUUAUCUAACUAAA
rnacentral:tRNA from 1 species